rnacentral:rRNA from 1 species
UGCGUAGGCGGACUAAUAAGUCAGUGGUGAAAUCUCUCGGCUCAACCGGGAAACUGCCAUUGAUACAGUUAGUCUUGAGUUCGGUUGAGGUAGGCGGAAUGUGUAAUGUAGCGGUGAAAUGCUUAGAUAUUACACAGAACACCAAUUGCGUAGGCAGCUUACUAGACCGACACUGACGCUGAGGCACGAAAGCGUGGGUAGCGAACAGGAUUAGAUACCCUGGUAGUCC